CAGCCCCUCAUUUAGUCCAAGCAGUCUGGAUUUCAGCCUAACUUCUCCACAGUUCAGUGCUUCAAUGGAAUACUCGCCAAGUUGACCUGGUUACUCACCGUCAUCAACCAGCCAAUACACUCCAUAGACAAGUGCCAAGGAUGAGGAUGAUAA